rnacentral:lncRNA from 1 species
UGGUUGUACCGGUACAGGGGACUUGUACCGGUACAGGGCCGGUUACCCCUCCAACCCGAGCCUCGGGUUGUGAUUUUCGUGGGGCUUGUACCGGUACAAGGGCCCGUGUACCGGUACAAGGAGGCUGAUUUCGUGCAGUUUGAACUGCAGGGGUGUUUUUGCAUUUGUGUCUCUUCUAUUUGAACCCCCACGCCUCCUAGGGCUCCUCCUGAGCUUGGCACAGCAGGAGAGAAGGUAGGAGAG